rnacentral:rRNA from 1 species
UACGUAGGUCCCGAGCGUUGUCCGGAUUUAUUGGGCGUAAAGCGAGCGCAGGUGGUUUAUUAAGUCUGGUGUAAAAGGCAGUGGCUCCACCAUUGUAUGCAUUGGAAACUGGUAGACUUGAGUGCAGGAGAGGAGAGUGGAAUUCCAUGUGUAGCGGUGAAAUGCGUAGAUAUAUGGAGGAACACCGGUGGCGAAAGCGGCUCUCUGGCCUGUAACUGACACUGAGGCUCGAAAGCGUGGGGAGCAAACAGG